GAUAAAGUGGCCGAAAUUUAAGCAAUAAAUUGUAAAUUUAUUUAUGAAAAAUCUUUUCCUUUAUCA
rnacentral:tRNA from 1 species